UCACAGUUUACACUGGCAGUCUCGUUAGAGUUCCCGACAUGACUCGCUGGCAACUAACGACAGGGGUUGCGCUCGUUAUAGGACUUAACCUGACACCUCACGGCACGAGCUGACGACAACCAUGCAGCACCUUGUAAAUUGUCUUGCGAAAAGUCUGUUUCCAAACCGGUCAAUCUACAUUUAAGCCUUGGUAAGGUUCCUCGCGUAUCAUCGAAUUAAACCACAUGCUCCACCGCUUGUGCGGGCCCCCGUCAAUUCCUUUGAGUUUCAUUCUUGCGAAAGUACUCCCCAGGCGGAACACUUAAUGCGUUAGCUGCGACACCGCGGGGGUCAAUACCCACAGCAUCUAGCACUAAUCGUUUACGGCGUGGACUAC
rnacentral:misc_RNA from 1 species